GUGCUCACUUCAGCAGCACAUAUACUAAAAUUUGUGCUGAAUGAUACAGAGAAGUUUAGCAUGGCCCAUGUGCAAGCAUGAUAUGCAAAUUCAUGAAGUGUUCCAUAUUUUA